GUAGGUGAACCUGCGGAAGGAUCAUUAAAAAAUGAAGGGCCCCGGGGGCCGUCUAAAAAACCCGUAGCCAGAAAGGCGUCACCCGGUUUUUUUUUCCGGGAGGCGCCCAACGGUGAACCCUCUGUGAAAACCCUUGUUGCUUCGGCAGCGCCUUCCCCUCUCGCCUCGCGGCGGGGGGGUAAGGGUCAGCCUGCCGGCGGCACACUUGAAAACCCUUCAUGCAAACUAGCAUUUAGAACGUCUGAGAGCGCAGUCGAAUGACACUUAAAACUUUCAACAACGGAUCUCUUGGUUCCC
rnacentral:misc_RNA from 1 species